UAAAUUUAGUCGACUUCGUGUAAUCGGAAUCGCCUCAAAAGCAUGGGAUUAAGCUGUAGACUAAGUUUGGUAUCGUCAUAUAAGGUUCGGUACCCGGCGCCUCCACCAAAAACCGGUCGGUCGCAUGCAAACCUUGCAGACCGGCUUUUGAUGGGGGCGAAAUAGGAUCGACAAGGGCUUAAAGAUCGAACUUUUGCUCGGCAUGAUACCACCGUUAUCGGGUCAAAAAGUGUAGUUGCAAACGACAACAACGCUAAGGGUUAUGCUCUCGCUGCCUAAUGGCGGUGCGGGAAAUCCGAACUAAGUCCUUGGAGGUAGCACUUUAAGGCGGGGUCCGAAGGCACCUGGCAACAGAAGCCUUCACC
rnacentral:tmRNA from 1 species